CUCCAGAUUUCCACAUUAUUCUGCAUUUUUUUCUCAUUUUAAAUAUGGAAAAAAUGUGGAAAAAAUACAGAGAGAAUUAACAAUACGGAAAAGCAGAAAAUAUACGGAAAUAAUCUGGAAAAUAUACGGAAAUAAUACGGAGAAUUGGACUUAGUCUAUUUUUCAUCUGGAAAAAUAUUUAACUCUUAACUUGGAAUAUUUUUCAUCUGGAAAAAAUACGGAGCUCUGGACUUCAGCAGUUCUCUGUUUCUCCUAAAUGUUAUGUACAAUUUGAUCGGGAUCGAAAGAACGUUUCAAAAAGUAGGGCUCAGUGAUCAAUUAAUUUAAACAACAGACCGCCAAAAUUUGACCUUGGCUUCCAUGUUGUAACAUCUGCACUGUUUUGAAGAGGAGGUUUGUUGACCAGGAAGCCUGAGAUCGCAUUGCUGUAUCAACCAAUAGAUGUAGAUACACGUAUUUCAUAUACAAGUCUAACGUCUGUGCAAAAGGAGGAGAUUUCCUGAAAAAGAAUAAGUGGUUAUUCAACUAACUGCGAUUUUAACAGGCUUAAAGCUGGUCCAUGGAUGGUUAUGUAUGAGGAUUUGCCAAUUUGACCGCAAGUGCUGCUGCAAGAAAUUAAACAUGCAGUGACCUUACAAAUUACAAAGAAGUCUGAAGAAAAUUUUUAUUGGACAGAUGGGUGUAAAGCACAGACCUGAGAUAUAAAUUGAAUAUUGUGAGAAAUAUGAAUCAGGAAUGCAGAUAGAAAAUGGCAAAUGUGAUCCAGAUUGAUAAAAAAUGUCUAUGAAAUUGCUUCUUUUUUUUUUGGUAAAUAUGCAAUGCUAGCUAUGUCAAUUGUUAUUUUUUCCCCCAAUAUCUAAAAGUGUUGAACUUUUCACUACCACUUUUGCUUUUAUAGAAUGAAUAGAUUUCCAUUUAAUUCAUAUAUAUAAAAAAAAUGCCACAUUCUUAUUUUUUUCAUGAUGAAUUUGUGGCAUAAUAAGAGUUCCAACUUUUUCCAUAUAUGCUCCUCUGUUUGUUUGUCAAAGAUAUAAGAUCCAAUACAUUGCUAAUGUCCAUAAUGUGUAAAUUUUUCAUUCAUUUAAAUGUUUUUCUCAUAAUGGUAUCAUAAAUUG